UGGGGAAUCUUGCACAAUGGGCGAAAGCCUGAUGCAGCAACGCCGCGUGCGGGAAGACAGCCCUAGGGUUGUAAACCGCUUUCAGCAGGGAAGAAACUGACGGUACCUGCAGAAGAAGAUGCGGCCAACUACGUGCCAGCAGCCGCGGUGACACGUAGGCAUCAAGCGUUAUCCGGAUUUAGUUGGGCGUAAAGAGCUCGUAGGCGGUUCGGUAAGUCGGGUGUGAAAACUCUGGGCUCAACCCAGAGAGGCCACUCGAUACUGCUGUGACUAGAGUGCGGUAGGGGAGCGGGGAAUUCCUGGUGUAGCGGUGAAAUGCGCAGAUAUCAGGAGGAACACCAGUGGCGAAGGCGCCGCUCUGGGCCGUAACUGACGCUGAGGAGC
rnacentral:rRNA from 1 species